AAUUAUCUAUCUCUAUUUAUACUAUACACUAGAUAUUUAUAUUCUAAAAAUAACUACUUAUUCUACAUAGCCCUACUCCUAACUGUGUAGUAUUCCCGUAAAUAUAAUAUUGAUAAAUAAAAACCUUUUUUUUUUUUUUUUUUUUUUUUUUUAACUGGACUGUUCAAUCACUUCAAUUUUUGGUGCUGGCUCCAUUUGGUCUUGUUCCAACACUAUAUCUUCUUCUUCCAACUCAUCUUGAAUCUCUACCCUUAAUUGAGCUGUUAAAUCUUCAUUAUAUGCUGCCAAUUUUUAAACCUGAGCUUUCAAUUGGAGUAUUCUGGCAUCUUUAGCUUUCAGUUGUUGCUGCUGCUGUUGCAAUUUCUCUUCCAAUUUUCCAAUUCUUAAUCCCGUUGAGGCAGAUGUCUAUGACUGACCAAUAUUGACCAAAUCACUCUCCAAUUUCAUUAUUGUUUCCUUCAAAAUAACAAUUUUUCCCUGUAGCUCAUCCGUUUUGUUUCAAUAUUGGUCAUCCAAUUGUUUCUUUUCAAGCUCCAAUGCCUCCUUCUUCUCUUGUUCCAUCUUCAGCUGAGCGUUCAUCUUCUCCUGUUCCAAUCUAUACGAUUUGUGAAUUUGUAGUAAUU
rnacentral:lncRNA from 1 species